rnacentral:lncRNA from 1 species
AAAAGAAAGAAAAUCAAAUCAAAGUAAAGUUUGCUUGAGUCAGGCAAGAGAAGAUCUUCGAGAUUUCAUCUGCAUGAAAUUAGAAACAGAGUCAAUCAGACAGCCAUUGACCUCAAUCGAACAAGAAUAAAAUCUCAGGAUUCAAACAUUAAUUGAAUCAGUAAAAUCUAAAAAAUUUCUAUUAAAAGAAACUCUAUAAAUCAUGCUCAAGUAUAAAAGGAAAAAGCGUGGACAAAAAUUCUUAAGGGAAAUAUACAGAAAGGAUAUAAAAAGUUCUUUGCAUUCAAAGGUUUUUUAAAGGGAAUCGAUUUGGAUUCUGAGUUUUUAUUUUUAAAUCUGUUUUUUUGGGAUUUGAUUUUUCAUUCAGUGUUUUAUUAAGAUCAUCUAGGAGUUUCUAAGCAGAGGUUCAAGCUUAGGUGUUAGGUCAAUUUAUGGGCCAUCUGAAGAGUUGGAAAAUAGUUUUAAGUUUUUUUCUGUGGUUUCUAGAUGUUUUGGUGGGAAUUUUCUGGGAUUUUAUUAGCCAUAAGUCUCGCUGAAUAUUGUGAGAAAUUUUGAGCACAUGGGAUUUUAAAGACUUUGGCUUUUUUGGGAGUUUGUUUUGGGAAAUUUUAAUUUGGGAUUUUGUGAUGAUUUUUCAUUGAUUUUGAGAUUUUCUGAUCGUAGAACCUUUUUAGUUUGUUUGGAGUUUGAAAAAGUAGAUUGGAUUAUGGGCUAGUUCUGAACAUUUUUGUUUGAGUUUUUGAAAACCUUGGGUUUUGUAUGAUUUUUUCGGUGGCUACUUGAAAUUUUCAAUCAACGUCACAGCGGCCGGAAAGUUUUGUGCAACGGCUAGCUUCUAGGUUUGUAAGGGUUUCUAGAAAAUUUGAAGUUUUCGACGGCCGUAUGAAUUUCACGAUUUUGGAAAUUGGGUUCAUCUUGGCCGGUUAAAGCUUCAAGUUCUUUUAGAGAGAGGCGAGAGCAUUUUCUUAAAGAGAAAUAAAGGUUCAGGGUCGGUCUGAAGAAAAAUAAAAGAUUUUUUGUUUAUAUAGCGUAGUCAAAACGGUAUUAUUUUACAGAACACCUUUGACCCGUUAACCCAUACGCAACUCGCAUGUCUGCUUGUUUUUGAAUUCGAC